AUGCCUGUCAAUCAUAUUGUGGGAGACGCGACCUCGGUGACGAUCCACCAGAUUCCGGCUUUCUCCGGAACUCCCGACCAGAAGGUGACCCUGAAUUGCAGAAUCGAGGGUAGUACCAGUGCUGGUAAUCAGUUGUACUGGUACCGACAAUCCCCGGGAAAGGGGCCGGAGAACAUGUUUUACUCAGCGACAGAAAGGAAUGUCCGUCCAGAGGGACUGGUCGACGGUUUUACGGCGGAGAGACCGCAGACUACCGAGUUCUUCCUGAAGUCCGACAAACUGGAGGCGGAUUCGUCGGCCGUGUAUUUCUGCGCCUGGAGUAUUCACGGCGGCUCAGAGUGA